rnacentral:rRNA from 1 species
GUAGUCUCGCACAGAUGCAUAUCAAUAAGCGGAGGAAAAGAAACUAACAAGGAUUCCCCUAGUAACGGCGAGUGAAGCGGGAAGAGCUCAAAUUUGAAAUCUUAAAGGGUUUCCCUUUACGAAUUGUAGUUUAAAGAAGUGUUUUCUGUUGAGGUUUUGGUAAAAGUUCUUUGGAAUAGGACAUCAUAGAGGGUGAGAAUCCCGUAUUUGACCUUUACUUUCAACUUUGUGAUACACUUUCAAAGAGUCGGAUUGUUUGGGAAUGCAGUCCAAAAUGGGUGGUAAAUUUCAUCUAAAGCUAAAUAUUGGCGAGAGACCGAUAGCGAACAAGUACCGUGAGGGAAAGAUGAAAAGAACUUUGAAAAGAGAGUUAAACAGUACGUGAAAUUGUCAAAAGGGAAGCGUUUGACACCAGUGUUGUUUUUCUGAAAAUCAAUUAAAGAACUGUUUAUGCUAAGCUGUUUAGACUUUAUCAGCUAACUGUUUAGUUUUGAGCUUUUCUUUAAUGCACUUUUCAGUUAACAAGUCAACAUCAAUUUCUUUUGCUGUAAAAAAGCUUGAGGAAGGUGGCUUGAGAUUCGUCUUAAGUGUUUAUAGCCUCUUGCCUAUGCAGUCGGAGAGAUUGAGGUCUGCAGCGUAGAUCCUUCGGGGCUAAAUGCAUUUGUGCUGAGUUAUAGCAUUUUAUAGACAAUCUUGUUGACUAUGAUUUGUCUUGUAGCUUACUCGCUUAUGUUAUUUUACCUACGCUUAGGAUGUUGAGUAGCGACAUACGCA